UUUUUUUUUUUUUUUUUUUGGCAGCCAAUCUCGGGUUUUCUUUAACUAUCUGUGUUUGGAGUUAAAUGGGUAGUAGCUAAUAAUUACCUGUUUAGACCAUCCAUCCCAUCUCUAUCUCUCUGUGGUAAAAAAUUGAUUAGGUGUGUUCCUUUGACUGAGGACAAAUUGAUUAGUUAUAAAAGCAACGUAAAGUUAAUUAAUUAAAUAUUCGUCAUUGUCAUUGAUCCACGUAAGAAUGGG
rnacentral:misc_RNA from 1 species